rnacentral:snRNA from 1 species
ACAUUUACCUGGUAAGAGCGAUACCAAGCUCAAGACGUUAGUUUUUCCAGGGUGAGCUCCAUGCUAAUGCACUUUUGCUGUGCCUAUCCCUGUGGUUUCUCAAAAUGUGGGAGAUUCAACUGCAUAAUUUAUAUGGGGA